rnacentral:rRNA from 1 species
GUCUAAGGCCAUGCCACCCUGAACAAGCCCGAUCCCAUCUGAUCUUGGAAGCUCAGCAAGGUCAGGCCUGGUUAGUACUUGGAUGGGGGACGAUCUAGGAAGACCAGGUGCUGUAGGUG